UAUCACACCAAUGACUCUUAUGUAUUGUUAAAUAUUUGCCAGAAAAUUUGUUAAAACUUGAAAACUUACUUCAAAUGAUUUUGAUGUGUAUGACCUGUCAUGUAUCGGAUACUUAAUUAGAGCGAUUGCAAAAGAUGCAUGUUUACAACUUUGAUUCAAGGACAUACCUGAAAAGUGUAUCACUGGAAAUAUCAAUUAACUGACAUUUGAUACAACAAAGUGCCGAUGAAUAAUGAAACUGAUCAACAAAAAAGAACCACAACAAAGUGCUAAUGAAUAUCAAGAAAAUAAACAAAAACAUCAAAACUACACAAGACAUUUGGAAAUACUGGGGUAUUGGACAAUCGUUUCCUCCAUGUAACUACCACCAAUGAUCAGAUCCUUUGUACUGGCCACAGACCUCAAUCACUAUCAGGAAUAGAACAGACCAACCAAUAUGAAAACAAAACAAAACAGUAGUAUGUAGACAGAUUCCAGACACAGACAACAGUUUUCUAAGACGUACAUCCCUACACAAUCUACAUCAAAUCAUUCUUGGAGUUGAUCAAUAUUUAUCCAGUUGUGUUCUGCAAGACCAAACAAGUCCUCGUGUCGGUUUCAAUUCAUCUCUAAUUGAACAAUGCAAACAUUUCUAUUCUACAUGUAGAUCACAAAUUUAAGUUUAGAUUUGUGCUACACCAUGUUAUGAACAACAGCUGCAAUAUUUCAAUCACUGCUGUUGUAUUUGAACAAUAAGACCAUGUGUUUUCAUUAUUUGGUCUCAAUUUUAAUUCAAGCUGGACUACAACAAAAUGUUUCAGCUGUAUGCUGUUAUUCAUACCAUUCACUUAAAUUGUGUGCUUUAUAUUGUGUAGGUGUAUAUAAAAACAUUUCUUGAAUAUCUGUUUAACUCAGUUAGUCACUUAGAAUAUUUGCAAAUAAGCCUCUGCCAUUUGGAGAAAGACUUAAAACAAGAAUGUGAUAAAAGCACAUGAUUGAUGUCUUCAGCAACUCGUGAUUCUCAGCAAAUUAAUGUUGAUUUAUUGUAACAGGUAAGUAUCUGAAAGUGGGGUCACUGGCAUGGCAGUAAAUGCCUGUAAACCCUUUCUUUCCAUGUCAUGUUGCUCAAAUAACUCAAGAACAUGGAGUAAUUUCAUGAUGACAUAUCAGGUGCGCAUGGUCUAGUUCCAUGGCAU